rnacentral:rRNA from 1 species
UACGGAGGGGCUAGCGUUGUUCGGAAUUAUUGGGCGUAAAGAGCUCGUAGGCGGCUUGUCACGUCGGGUGUGAAAGCCCGGGGCUUAACCCCGGGUCUGCAUUCGAUACGGGCUAGCUAGAGUGUGGUAGGGGAGAUCGGAAUUCCUGGUGUAGCGGUGAAAUGCGCAGAUAUCAGGAGGAACACCGGUGGCGAAGGCGGCGCUCUGGACCGAGACUGACGCUGAGGCGCGAAAGCGUGGGGAGCAAACAGG